AGAGUUUGAUCAUGGCUCAGAUUGAACGCUGGCGGCAGGCCUAACACAUGCAAGUCGAGCGGUAGCACAGAGAGCUUGCUCUCGGGUGACGAGCGGCGGACGGGUGAGUAAUGUCUGGGAAACUGCCUGAUGGAGGGGGAUAACUACUGGAAACGGUAGCUAAUACCGCAUAACGUCGCAAGACCAAAGUGGGGGACCUUCGGGCCUCAUGCCAUCAGAUGUGCCCAGAUGGGAUUAGCUAGUAGGUGGGGUAACGGCUCACCUAGGCGACGAUCCCUAGCUGGUCUGAGAGGAUGACCAGCCACACUGGAACUGAGACACGGUCCAGACUCCUACGGGAGGCAGCAGUGGGGAAUAUUGCACAAUGGGCGCAAGCCUGAUGCAGCCAUGCCGCGUGUGUGAAGAAGGCCUUCGGGUUGUAAAGCACUUUCAGCGGGGAGGAAGGCGAUAAGGUUAAUAACCUUGUCGAUUGACGUUACCCGCAGAAGAAGCACCGGCUAACUCCGUGCCAGCAGCCGCGGUAAUACGGAGGGUGCAAGCGUUAAUCGGAAUUACUGGGCGUAAAGCGCACGCAGGCGGUCUGUCAAGUCGGAUGUGAAAUCCCCGGGCUCAACCUGGGAACUGCAUUCGAAACUGGCAGGCUAGAGUCUUGUAGAGGGGGGUAGAAUUCCAGGUGUAGCGGUGAAAUGCGUAGAGAUCUGGAGGAAUACCGGUGGCGAAGGCGGCCCCCUGGACAAAGACUGACGCUCAGGUGCGAAAGCGUGGGGAGCAAACAGGAUUAGAUACCCUGGUAGUCCACGCCGUAAACGAUGUCGAUUUGGAGGUUGUGCCCUUGAGGCGUGGCUUCCGGAGCUAACGCGUUAAAUCGACCGCCUGGGGAGUACGGCCGCAAGGUUAAAACUCAAAUGAAUUGACGGGGGCCCGCACAAGCGGUGGAGCAUGUGGUUUAAUUCGAUGCAACGCGAAGAACCUUACCUGGUCUUGACAUCCACAGAACUUUGCAGAGAUGGUUUGGUGCCUUCGGGAACUGUGAGACAGGUGCUGCAUGGCUGUCGUCAGCUCGUGUUGUGAAAUGUUGGGUUAAGUCCCGCAACGAGCGCAACCCUUAUCCUUUGUUGCCAGCGGUUCGGCCGGGAACUCAAAGGAGACUGCCAGUGAUAAACUGGAGGAAGGUGGGGAUGACGUCAAGUCAUCAUGGCCCUUACGACCAGGGCUACACACGUGCUACAAUGGCAUAUACAAAGAGAAGCGACCUCGCGAGAGCAAGCGGACCUCAUAAAGUAUGUCGUAGUCCGGAUUGGAGUCUGCAACUCGACUCCAUGAAGUCGGAAUCGCUAGUAAUCGUAGAUCAGAAUGCUACGGUGAAUACGUUCCCGGGCCUUGUACACACCGCCCGUCACACCAUGGGAGUGGGUUGCAAAAGAAGUAGGUAGCUUAACCUUCGGGAGGGCGCUUACCACUUUGUGAUUCAUGACUGGGGUGAAGUCGUAACAAGGUAACCGUAGGGGAACCUGCGGUUGGAUCACCU
rnacentral:rRNA from 1 species